rnacentral:lncRNA from 11 species
GUCUUUCAAAUGAAAACCUUUCUAUCUCCUUGGUCCUCCACCUCCCCUCCACGAUUUUUCUCUUCCCGUCUUCUCCAUGUAACCAUGUCUCCUUUUGUUUUGUUUCUUUCUUCAAGGUCUCUGGGCUUCAGUUCCCAACCAAUCCGGGGGUUGCAGCAACAUCUCCAAGGUUGUGGGAUUUAUUGAAACACUCAGAAGACUCCUGAGAAUGUCAGCUGCAGACUAAAUGCCUUCAGGGGGAGGAAUUCAUUCUUUUGUACAUUUCACGAUUUGGUGCACAUGUAGCACUGAAGAUGGAUUAUUCUCUUAUUAUCACUGGAAUAUAUUUUUUUGGAAAAGGAAACACAACAAAAGCACGAAUCAUUCGAAUAUAAGGCUGCCCAAUCUUCUAUGUCAUGCAAGCAUGUUGCUGCCCAGAUAAUUGCAGAAGCAGUGGCCGAGGUUUGGAAUCAGAUCUGACACGGUGAAAUGAAAGACGGCAGCAGAUGCUGAGCGUAACAACGAAAGCGUAUGCACAGGAGAAACACAACAGGAUUUUUCUUUCUCCUUUCUUUCUUUCAAGCCGAUUUCUCCUUUCAGCAGCACCCUCUGAGCUAUCAGUUCCAGGUCCGGAAUGGGGAAGCCUGCUGGGUUUCAUUGAAUGUGACCUUUCUCUGAACAGGAGCUGUUGUCAAGGUUACAAUAUGUUCAUGUGCUGCUCCAAGAUGAAUGACAGGACAGAGCAGGUUCUUCUGGUAGAUCUGCAAGGAUUUCAGAUUCUCUGUCGCAGCAUGGAAAACUUACUGAGUUGGACUAUAACUACUGUUGUUGAGCAGCCCUAUUGGUUGUGGGAUUCUGGGACCGGCAAUUCAAUUUUGUAACUUUUCUGAACACUGGUCCUAAUUAUUUUUCCUCAAUUAGAGAAGCAACAACCAUGUAUUUCCAAUAACUAUUCACCACUCUUGAUAAAAGGUUCUUUUCAAAGGGCUCUCAUGUAUAAGGUUAACACAAGAAGCCCACUUGAUGCCUUUAUUGUUAUCAUGUGCUUUCAAUUCAUUUCUGAAACUGGAUUUCUUUGGUGGAAUUUUUUCUUUUCAUCUGAAGCUGAGAGAGUGUGAUAUACCCAGGGUCAUUUGGUGAAUUCCCAUGGCCAAGUGGGGAUUGCAGCCCUUCCCACCCAGUGUCCUAGUCCAACAUUCAAAUAACAGUAUGCUAUAGCUCAAAAUGGGAUGACUAAUUCUGACCCUUCUCAUGAUGAUAUGUUAUUACAAAAAUGGCAUAUCUUCCCUCUCACAAAGAAAUAUGAGGAAUAUUGAAAGAAAAAUAACUUGAAGCAAAGUUUUUGUUUGGAAAAGUAGAACAUUGCUCCACCUUGCUACUUAAAUGCUCAUAUUAUUGUGCCAAAAUCUUCUCUGGAAUCCAUAGCUAAGAUGGGAAUCAAACUCUGGUCUCCAGAGUCAUUGUCAAAUCCUCAAACCAUUGGCUCGCAGUACAACACCACACUACAUAUCCCAAGAUUUGUAGUGUGAUAGGAUGGAGCCAUGAUAGCAAAGAUGAUUGCUAUCAUUGUGUAUUACGUCAUCGUCGUCUCACUCGUUCAGUC